rfam:Ailuropoda melanoleuca scaffold2498_19, whole genome shotgun sequence.
CCAAAGGUCCUUCUCAGGACCACCCACUUGGUCACAGGAAGAGCUGU